UACAGAGGUGGCAAGCGUUGUUCGGAAUUACUGGGCGUAAAGGGCGCGUAGGCGGUCUUUUAAGUCUUGUGUGAAAUCCCUCGGCUCAACUGAGGAACUGCACGGGAUACUGGAAGACUUGAGUUCGGGAGAGGGAAGCGGAAUUCCGGGUGUAGCGGUGAAAUGCGUAGAUAUCCGGAGGAACACCGGUGGCGAAGGCGGCUUCCUGGACCGAUUACUGACGCUGAGGCGCGAAAGCUAGGGGAGCAAAUGGG
rnacentral:rRNA from 1 species